GUUGAACUUGAGGAGGAAGACGAGACGACAUCGACGAGGGACUUCAGCUCGUGUUCGGGAAUGGAUGCGGCAGCAAAACUAGAUUCACUCAACGUUUCAUCAAUAAAUUAAAGGCUAAAUCUGGAGACAUUGGCUCCAAACUUAAGAUUCUGCAGCAGAUUCAAAAUGACAAAUCCAAUAUCAAUGCGGAACGAACAGCGUUCUUCAUCAUGGCCUAGUUCUC